GUGUCAGCCGCCGCGGUAAUACGGGGGUGGCAAGCGUUGUUCGGAAUUACUGGGCGUAAAGGGCGCGUAGGCGGGGAGGUAAGUCGGGUGUGAAAUCCCUCGGCUCAACCGAGGAACUGCGCCCGAGACUGCCUUUCUUGAGUCCCGGAGAGGAAGGUGGAAUUCCCGGUGUAGCGGUGAAAUGUGUAGAGAUCGGGAGGAACACCGGUGGCGAAGGCGGCCUUCUGGACGGUGACUGACGCUGAGGCGCGAAAGCGUGGGGAGCAAACGGGAUUAGAUACCCGGGUAGUCC
rnacentral:rRNA from 1 species